UACCAUUUAGAGUAAGCAAACCCCAUUUAGGAUAUUCUUCAGACGCUGACUUUUCCCUCGCUCUCAUUACAACUCGCAGCUCAGCCAGUCAGUGCUGGUUAGUUAAAUUGAUAGUUAAUUAAUUAGUUAGUUAACUCAUAAGCAAAUAAUGGAGGAAACGAGAAGGUUAUUGCAACAAUUUGGACGGGGACGCUGAAGGAUGACGAUAUUACGGACGAGACUCUGUUAAUAAUUUCAGGAGAAAAUUGUCAGGUUUUCUAGGUCAUUUUAGGUCGGCUUUGGAAUGCAUUGUACAAUUUGUGAGAACUUGGUAUAUCUUUGUUUUAAGUGCAAAACUAAUUUUAAACCUUUAGUAUAACAUUAAAAAAAUUAUCUUAAGUUAAUAGGGUCCAGCGUUUACAAAUAUCCUCACUAGUGGUUCAUAAUAAGGGUAAUUUGUAAUGCAAUGUUGAAUGUGAAAUAAAAUAUAUUAUUAAAGUA